rnacentral:rRNA from 1 species
UUUAAACUGUCUUUAAUAAAAAUUAAGAAUUUAAAUUUUUAGUAAGAAUGCUAAAAUAGAAUUAUGGGACGAGAAGACCCUAUAGAAUUUUAUAUGAAUUUUUAAUUUUGAGUUUUAUUGUAUAGGAGGAUUAGGAUUUAUAUUUGAUUGGGAGGAUUGUUAAAUUAAAUGAACUUUAAUAAGAUAAAAACAUUGAUUUAUGAUUUUAUAAUGAUUAGGUUUAAAGGAAAAUCUAUGAAAGAAUUAAUUACCUUAGGGAUAACAGCGUAAUAUUUUUAGAAAGAUCAUAUUGAUAAAAGUGAUUGCGACCUCGAUGUUGAAUUAAAAUAAAAAUUAAAUGGAGAGAUUUAAUAUUUUUAGUCUGUUCGACUAUUAAAAUUUUACGUGAUCUGAGUUCA